rnacentral:rRNA from 1 species
GACGAACGCUGACGGUGUGCUUUAGACAUGCAAGUCGAACGCGAAAGCCCUUCGGGGUGAGUAGAGUGGCGAACGGGUGAGUAACACGUGGGCAAUCUGCCCCUCGCAGGGGGAUAACCGGGGGAAACCCCGGCUAAUACCCCGUACGCUCGUUGGGUCGCAUGGCCCUUCGAGGAAACGGUAGCUUCGGCCAUCCGGCGAGGGAUGAGCCCGCGGUGCAUUAGCUAGUUGGUGGGGUAACGGCCUACCAAGGCGACGAUGCAUAGCUGGUCUGAGAGGAUGAUCAGCCACACUGGGACUGAGACACGGCCCAGACUCCUACGGGAGGCAGCAGUCGGGAAUCUUGCGCAAUGGGCGAAAGCCUGACGCAGCAACACCGUGUGAGCGAUGAAGGGCC